rnacentral:rRNA from 1 species
CAGUAGCCGCGGGAAAACGAAGGGUGCAAGCGUUAAUCGGAUUUACUGGGCGUAAAGGGCGCGUAGGUGGUUAUUUAAGUGAGAUGUGAAAGCCCCGGGCUUAACCUGGGAACUGCAUCUUAUACUGGGUAACUGGAGUGCAGUAGAGGGUAGUGGAAUUUCCGGUGUAGCGGUGAAAUGCGUAGAUAUCGGAAGGAACACCAGUGGCGAAGGCGGCUACCUGGACUGAGACUGACACUGAGGCGCGAGAGCGUGGGGAGCAAACAGGAUUAGAUACCCCUGUAGUCCCUGUCUCUUAUAC